rnacentral:rRNA from 1 species
CUAUGCGCCUUGCCAGCCCGCUCAGGUGUGCCAGCCGCCGCGGUAAUACGAGGAUGCGAGCGUUAUCCGGAUUUAUGGUUUAAAGGGUGCGUAGCGGAAUAUCAAGUCAGCGGUAAAAAUUCGGGGCUCAACCCCGUCGUGCCGUUGAAACUGAUGUUCUUGAGUGGGCGAGAAGUAUGCGGAAUGCGUGGUGUAGCGGUGAAAUGCAUAGAUAUCACGCAGAACUCCGAUUGCGAAGGCAGCAUACCGGCGCCCUACUGACGCUGAGGCACGAAAGCGUGGGUAUCGAACAGG